GCUUCCAUAGCUCAGUAGGUAGAGCACCACCAUGGUAAGGUGGGGUCAGCAGUUCGAAUCUGCUUGGAAGCU
rnacentral:tRNA from 1 species